AACGCGAAGAACCUUACCAAGGUUUGACAUGGCCGGAAAAGCAUCAGAGAUGGUGUGUCCUUCGGGUCGGUCACAGGUGGUGCAUGGCUGUCGUCAGCUCGUGUCGUGAGAUGUUGGGUUAAGUCCCGCAACGAGCGCAACCCUCGUCCUAUGUUGCCAGCGGGUCAUGCCGGGGACUCAUGGGAGACUGCCGGGGUCAACUCGGAGGAAGGUGGGGAUGACGUCAAGUCAUCAUGCCCCUUAUGUCCAGGGCUUCACACAUGCUACAAUGGCCGGUACAAAGGGCUGCGAUGCCGUGAGGCUUAGCGAAUCCUUUAAAGCCGGUCUCAGUUCGGAUCGGGGUCUGCAACUCGACCCCGUGAAGUCGGAGUCGCUAGUAAUCGCAGAUCAGCAACGCUGCGGUGAAUACGUUCCCGGGCCUUGUACACACCGCGCAUA
rnacentral:rRNA from 1 species